CUUCACAAUUAUUAGGCCUUAGUGGAACCCAGUCUCUAGACAGAAAUUCACCGAAGCCAGUUUUUGCUAACAGUUCUGCUUGUGAAGUUGCUUGUCUGUGCUGCUUAAAAGCUUUUGAUGUCACAGAAGUUCUGAAAAAUGUGAUUCUGAAGUCUCCUCUGCUGAACUAUAUUGCCUGCAAAAAAAUGAUCCCAUCCUUCCUACCAGUUUUGCACAGUGCUGGACCUGUGAAGAUUUAACCGUGAAACUUCUUACUCUGGCCAUACUAAUUGCAGUAACAGCUCUGGAUCUUUUAAAUAUGCUGUAUAGGUCUAAGUAUGUACUUUGGCCAAAGUCAAGUUCAUAUGAUGUAGAACAGUGCUGAGAAAGGUUGGUUGGAAGUAAAAACUCAGAAGUUUGUGGAGAAGGAUGUGCGUGCA
rnacentral:lncRNA from 1 species